AUUGAACGCUGGCGGCAGGCCUAACACAUGCAAGUCGAACGAGUGGCGGACGGGUGAGUAAUGUCUGGGAAACUGCCUGAUGGAGGGGGAUAACUACUGGAAACGGUAGCUAAUACCGCAUACCAUCGGAUGUGCCCAGAUGGGAUUAGCUAGUAGGUGGGGUAACGGCUCACCAAGCCUUCGAUGGAUAGGGGUUCUGAGAGGAAGGUCCCCAACAGUGGAACUGAGACACGGUCCAAACUCCUACGGGAGGCAGCAGUGAGGAAUAUUGGUCAAUGGGCGUUAGCCUGAACCAGCCAAGUAGCGUGUAUGAAGAAGGCCUUCGGGUUGUAAAGUACUUUCAGCGGGGAGGCGUUACCCGCAGAAGAAGCACCGGCUAACUCCGUGCCAGCAGCCGCGGUAAUAC
rnacentral:rRNA from 1 species